UUGAAGGAUUCGGCUCAAAUCAUUUUUAUUUAACUCGUCAAAUAUAAAAUGUUAAGGUAUACAGGUCGAGGAGCGAAAUUAUAAGUGACCUGCAAGGGAUGUCCUUAGCAUGGCUAGUCCUUAGACAAUAAGACAAUAGACACAGCCUAAUGAUGUUCAAAGUAUUCUCUUCGAGGGUUCUCUAGUCUGGUUUCUCCAAUCAGCACCUAUCUAGGGAGCGUUCGGUUUCCAACUGCUCCUAUAACUCCGCUCCCGGAGCGGACGAGAUUUCAGCUUAUUUUGACGGAGCUGGCAAAACCGAGCUCCACAAUUCCUCGGAGCGGAUCGAUUCCGAACAGGGCCCUAGUCGAUCCACGUCUCCUGCACUUGGGUAUUAUAGAUCCCUUGUGCCUUCGUCAAGAUUUUUGAAAUUUGACCAGGACUCGACGGACAUCUCAGAAGAUCACAGUUUUUCUCCUCACAGAAGCUCCAAGCUGUGGUGUUUUACUUUUAUUACCAGGUGACCACUGAAGUAUCUCCAUCCAGGCGGCACCAUGUCGGCAGUGGCAGACACGGGGGGCACAUGCCGACUAAGUUAUUUUACCGGUUCAGGGAGCUACCGGUUGGAAAUCCACCAUUCGUCAAUGCUUUUAGAUUCGUGCGGUUGGACCCCACAAAAUUUCUUUUUCUCUGUCACUGUCGGACGCCGUCAUGGGCGACGGCGCCGACCAGCCACCCCGCCGCUGGAUCCUCCUUCCCCGGCCGGCCAUGGCGACCACCACGCGUACAAGUACAAAAGCCCUCAUGGUCCAAUGAGAUCCAGCGAGACAGGUUCGUCCCCAUCUAGCCCGGUCAGCUCUCGUACCCUGCAUCAACCAGAUCCCGUGGGCGUCGGGGUGACCUGCUCCGGCGAGGUUCCUCGAUCCCGCCCGCCACAAGCCCGUCCACGGGCAGCCGUGCUCGCCGUUGGUGGCUACGUGCAGCACGGGCACCACGGCGGGGCACCGCGCACCGUUGUCGCCGGAUCUGGCGACUCCAAGCCUGACCGCCAUUGGAUCUGAUCAUCGGCCUCCUGCAUCUUCAGUUUCAGAUAUUUGAUUGUUUGUGCAGAGGGCAUGUGUUACACUUUUCUGAAAGAGAACCAAGAGUGAAUCAAUUUCAGAAAUCAAGUUACAUCUAUGUACCUGUGUGUGUAGCUGAGUUGUGCAAGAUAUGUGAAAUUUAUAUUUCAAUCUGUAACUUGUUAUUUGAGUGAAAUUUACAUCUAUGUGUGUGUAGCCAUUGGUAUUGGUGUACAGAGGGCAUGUUCAAAGAAGAUUUCAGUUACAUCUAUGUACCAAUUUCAAUAUAAACAAACGGGUCAAAAAUGUAUUGAGUUACAUCUAUGUACCUGUGUGUGUAGCUAUUGGUAUUGAGUUACAUCUGUUAUUUGAAAUGAACGGAUUUGACUCGGUU